GAUGAACGCUGGCGGCGUGCCUAAUACAUGCAAGUCGAGCGAACGGACGAGAAGCUUGCUUCUCUGAUGUUAGCGGCGGACGGGUGAGUAACACGUGGAUAACCUACCUAUAAGACUGGGAUAACUUCGGGAAACCGUAGCUAAUACCGGAUAAUAUUUUGAACCGCAUGGUUCAAAAGUGAAAGACGGUCUUGCUGUCACUUAUAGAUGGAUCCGCGCUGCAUUAGCUAGUUGGUAAGGUAACGGCUUACCAAGGCAACGAUGCAUAGCCGACCUGAGAGGGUGAUCGGCCACACUGGAACUGAGACACGGUCCAGACUCCUACGGGAGGCAGCAGUAGGGAAUCUUCCGGAAUGGGCGAAAGCCUGACGGAGCAACGCCGCGUGAGUGAUGAAGGUCUUCGGAUCGUAAAACUCUGUUAUUAGGGAAGAACAUAUGUGUAAGUAACUGUGCACAUCUUGACGGUACCUAAUCAGAAAGCCACGGCUAACUACGUG
rnacentral:rRNA from 1 species